rnacentral:rRNA from 1 species
UGCCAGCCGCCGCGGUAAUACGGAGGGUACAAACGUUGCUCGGAAUCACUGGGCGUAAAGCGCUCGUAGGCGGUUUGUCAAGUUAGGUGUGAAAUCCCCGGGCUUAACCUGGGACGUGCACUUAAAACUGGCAGGCUAGAGUCUGGAAGAAAAUAGCGGAAUUCCGGGUGUAGAGGUGAAAUUCGUAGAUAUCCGGAGGAACACCAGAGGCGAAGACGGCUAUCUGGACCAGUACUGACACUGAGGUGCGAAAGCGUGGGGAGCAAACAGGAUUAGAUA